rnacentral:lncRNA from 1 species
AGCUGGGAAGGAAGGACGCUGGGAGGGGAGGAUAGGAAAGGGAGCUGGGAGGAAGCCCCGCGACCCGGGCCCACCUCAGCAGCGUCUCCAGCGCGCCCUCGUGCUUGUCCAGCGGGCGGCCGAGCGCCGAGCGCCGCAGCUUGCUGAGCUCCUCGGCCGCGCGGCAGUACUGGGCCUGCUCCUCGCCGCCGCUCGGGUACGUCUGCUGGAUGAACUUGACCAGCGGCUUGGCCAGGUCCACCUCCGAGGUCUUCUUCAGCUGCACCCAGAUGAACGACGCCAUGGUGAGCGCCCGGCCGCCGCUUCGGGCCGGACAGACGAAGGGACAGCGACGACGGCCUAGGCGCGCUCGGCACCGGCAGCGGACGAGCGGACCGACGGGCCGACGGACUGGGCCGCCAGCGCUUGGAGCCGGCCACUUCCGGGAGCCCCCACGCAGGCGCAGUCAGAGGGGCGCGCCGCUCGGUCACGUGACCGUGCCACCAAAGCGUCGCUCACCUGGUCUAGCCAGUGUGGCGCCUGCGCGGUGCGAUCAGGCAGUAGCUUCCUGCGAUGAUUAAACUUUCAAGAAGAUUCUUUUGGUUGUUGUGGUUUGGUCUGCUUGAUUUGUUCGAGACAGGGCUUCUCUGUGUACCCCUGCUGUCUUGAAACUCACUUGCAGACCAGGCCGGCCUCGAACUCUCAGAGAUCCUCCUGCCUCUGCCUCCCCAAUGCAAGAAUUAAAGGCUUGCACUAACUAC